rnacentral:rRNA from 1 species
AGCGAACGCUGGCGGCAGGCCUAAAACAUGCAAGUCGAACGCCCGUAGCAAUACGGGAGUGGCAGACGGGUGAGUAACACGUGGGAACGUGCCCUUUGGUUCGGAACAACACAGGGAAACUUGUGCUAAUACCGGAUAAGCCCUUACGGGGAAAGAUUUAUCGCCAGAGGAUCGGCCCGCGUCUGAUUAGCUAAGUUGGUGAGGUAACGGCUCACCAAGGCUACGAUCAGUAGCUGGUCUGAGAGGAUGAUCAGCCACACUGGGACUGAGACACGGCCCAGACUCCUACGGGAGGCAGCAGUUAGGAAUCUUGGACAAUGGGCGCAAGCCUGAUCCAGCCAUGCCGCGUGAGUGAUGAAAGGCC